AUGGACCCGACUGAGAUUUUGAAUGUCAAAUUUCAUAUAGGGGGGCAAUUUGUUCAUAUUGGUCCUUUUCUAGACUAUGUUGGGGGAGAUGUGGCCUACUCUCAUAUUGAAAGGGACAAGCUUUCCUUGCCAAAGGUGAAUGGAUUUGUUGCAGAUCAUAUGGCAGUUAAGGAAAGCAUGAAAUUUUUCUUUCUUAUGCCUGGCAGAGAGUUGGUUAAUGGGCUCAUGUUUCUGUAUGAUGAUGCUGGGUGCAUGAGAAUGUCAGAUCAUACAACUGAUGGAGGAGUUGCAGAUAUUUAUGUGGAGUACAAUGGGGAAGAGGAUGAAGAAUUAGAGGAGGGCAGUGCAAGUGGGUCUGAUUUUGAUGAUGAAAUUAAGGAUCACAUGGAGAGUGGAAGUGAAGAAGAUAUGCCUAUUAUCAUGAGUGUUGAAUAA
rnacentral:rRNA from 1 species